AGUGAACGCUGGCGGUAGGCCUAACACAUGCAAGUCGAACGGUAGCACAGUAAGAGCUUGUCCUUACGGGUGGCCAGUGGCGGACGGGUGCGGAACAUAUCGGAAUCUAGUUUUUCGUGGGGGAUAACGUAGGGAAAUUUACGCUAAUAUCGCAUACGACCUACGGGUGAAAGCAGGGGAUCUUCGGACCUUGCGCGAUUGAAUCAGCCGAUGUCGGAUUAGCUAGUUGGCGGGGUAAAGGCCCACCAAGGCGACGAUCCGUAGCUGGUCUGAGAGGAUGACCAGCCACACUGGAACUGAGACACGGUCCAGACUCCUACGGGAGGCAGCAGUGGGGAAUAUUGGACAAUGGGCGCAAGCCUGAUCCAGCCAUACCGCGUGGGUGAAGAAGGCCUUCGGGUUGUAAAGCGCUUUUGUUAGGAAAGAAAAGCAGCAGGUUAAUACCGCGCUGUACUGACGGUACCCGAAGAAUAAGCACCGGCUAACUACGUG
rnacentral:rRNA from 1 species